rnacentral:rRNA from 1 species
UUCGACCUGAACUCAGACGUGAAUACCCGCUGA